GGUGGCCCAUGUGUAUAGUCCCUGCUUCUUGAAAGGCUGAGACAGGGAAAUAGUUUGACCCUAGAAGUUCCAGGAGACCUUGGCAACAUAGUGAAGCUUCACUUCAGGUAAGUAACUAAGUAAUCUACCUUUGGCUCUACAGGCAUAGCUUGGUGGUAGAGUGCCUGCUCAGCAUGGAGGAGGCCCUGAAAUCAAUCCUAGAACUGCAAAACCCAUUUUAAGCCCUUCCCCCAGUGAUAUGAAAUCUUCAGUGUCCAUAAAGUUUUACUGGAGCACAGCUAGACUCAUGAUUUACAUACAAGUCCUCUAUGGCUGUUGAUACCCUGCAAUGGCAGAAUUGAAUAGUCACAACUGAAACCACAUAGUCUUGAAGCUGAAACUAUUUGCUAGUAAGAGGUGUGUAUGUGUGUGUGUGUGUGUGUGUGUGUGUGUGUGUUGGUCCUGGGGCUUGAACUCAGG